GAUUAGUGGCGAACGGGUGAGUAACACGUGAGAAAUCUGCCCUUGACUCUGGGAUAACUGCGGGAAACUGUAGCUAAUACCGGAUACUUUCCCUGGUGGGCAUCCACUAGGGAAGAAAGAAUUUCGGUCAAGGAUGAUCUCGCGGCCUAUCAGCUAGUUGGUGAGGUAAUGGCUCACCAAGGCGGCGACGGGUAGCCGGCCUGAGAGGGUGACCGGCCACACUGGAACUGAGACACGGUCCAGACUCCUACGGGAGGCAGCAGUGGGGAAUAUUGCACAAUGGGCGAAAGCCUGAUGCAGCAACGCCGCGUGAGGGACGAAGGCCUUCGGGUUAUAAACCUCUUUUAGCAGGGAAGAAGCGAAAGUGACGGUACCUGCAGAAAAAGCACCGGCUAACUACGUGCCAGCAGCCGCGGUAAUACGUAGGGUGCAAGCGUUGUCCGGAAUUAUUGGGCGUAAAGAGCUCGUAGGCGGUUUGUCACGUCUGCUGUGAAAUUUCGAGGCUCAACCUCGAACUUGCAGUGGGUACGGGCAGGCUAGAGUGCGGUAGGGGAGAUGGGAAUUCCUGGUGUAGCGGUGGAAUGCGCAGAUAUCAGGAGGAACACCAAUGGCGAAGGCACAUCUCUGGGCCGUAACUGACGCUGAGGAGCGAAAGCGUGGGGAGCGAACAGGAUUAGAUACCCUGGUAGUCCACGCCGUAAACGGUGGGUGCUAGCUGUGGGCCACAUUCCACG
rnacentral:rRNA from 1 species